rnacentral:rRNA from 1 species
CAGCAGCCGCGGGAAUACGGAGGGUGCAAGCGUUAAUCGGAAUUACUGGGCGUAAAGCGUGCGUAGGCGGUUCGUUAAGUCUGUUGUGAAAGCCCCGGGCUCAACCUGGGAAUGGCAAUGGAUACUGGCGAGCUAGAGUGUGUCAGAGGAUGGUGGAAUUCCCCGUGUAGCAGUGAAAUGCGUAGAUAUGUGGAGGAACACCGAUGGCGAAGGCAGCCUCCUGGGAUAAUACUGACGCUCAUGCACGAAAGCGUGGGGAGCAAACAGGAUUAGAUACCCCAGUAGUCCCUGUCUCUUAUAC